rnacentral:misc_RNA from 1 species
GUAGGCCAUCCCAAUUCACCAUAAACUCAUUUUUCAUCUUCCUCAUGGCUUCAUGCUCCCCUGGAUUUUCCCUCCUGCCCAACAUGCUGUCAACCUCAUCAACAAAGACAACACUAGGGACAAUUUUGCUGGCCAGGGAGAAUACAGCUUUCACGUACUUCUCACCCUCACCAAACCAUUUAGAUGUGAUGCUUGACAUUGAAAUGUUGAUAAAAUUUGCACCAGCUUCUGUUGCCACAGCCUUUGCGAGCAUAGUCUUUCCAGUUCCUGGAGGUCCAAAUAAAAGUAUGCCCUUGCAAGGCUUGGUUAAUUGCCCCUUGCAGAAAAGCUCAGGCCUCUGUAAAGGAAGCAUCACCAACUCCUUCAAAGUAUCCUUGACAUUCUCAAGAGCUCCAAUAUCAUCAAAUGUAACUCCAAUGUCGCUGGGCGGAAUAACAUCAGCCAAAAGCCUUUUCUCAAAG